rnacentral:lncRNA from 15 species
AUGUUCUACUCUACCAGCAGCAGUUGUUUCUUGACCAAUAUGGCAAAACUGAGACUGUUCUUUGUUCUUCUUCUGCCACUAACUGUGAGUUCUGACGCUGAAGAGACUCUUGUGAAAACCAUUGGGAACAAACCAGAUGUGACUCCAAUCUGCACCAAUGAAACACAGAAGAUCAUCACACUUGUAGUUUGUAAGAUCAGAACACAGAUGAGAGGAGAAGAGUGUCGUCUGACAUAUUAUCUUGGAAAGGGUUUUAUACCUGAAUGUGACUCCAGAUUCACACUUAUGAUGGAGAAUCAAACUAUGUUUCUCCACCUGACCAGUUUAACACCAGUGGAUAGUGGGAACUUCACCUGUGAGUGUUCCUUUCCUGGUGGAACAUAUAUUCUCUAUCUGAAUAUCACUGUGGAAGAUGUUGUAGAAGAUGAAGACGUCAGAAAUUCAACAGUAACUCUACAUGUUUUGAUUGGUGUAACUACAGUCACCAUAAUAACUGUAGUUAUUCUGGGAUUAAUCUACAGAAGAAUACGUCUUGGAAAACAUCCAGUACCACAGAGUAGUCCUGCAAACUCGGAGCUUCAGGACAUCGAGCCGUACAGCACCUUCAUGAGGAGAGAGAGUGGGCUUUACUCUACUGUCAGAGUCAACACUAAUGCCAAUUAUUCAAACAUGUCCACCAGAGAGGACACACAUAGCAGGAAGUUUUUGUAG